rnacentral:lncRNA from 1 species
UUUUAUUAAUAAAAAGUAAACAAAUGAUAUUGUCUUAAAGUUUUAAAAAUCAACAACCCUACAUUGACUAGAAAUAAAUAAGGAUUCAUAUUAAUACAUCUAAUGAGAUUCAAGGAAAAAUAAUUCACAACACGUCUGGAGAUUCACAUACCAACAAUAUAUAUACACAUAGAAGUUUUAAUUGUAAUUAAAACGUGCUGACCAAGCACUGGCAAGUUCAGAUGUUCAUUUUGAGUACAUCUACUUAUAUCAAAUAUGUAGAAAAAUACUUUUGAGUCCAGAAAAAUAAGGGCUUUUAAAAGAAAUCUAAAAUAAUUUGUUAUCAUAUUCAAAAUAGUUUAAUUCUGUAAAAAAAAAAAAAAUAUGUAGGAAAGGGAAAAAAUAAAAUUUGGAUUUUUAAAUUUUUAAGGUUUCAAAAAAUACUAUAGACUGUUAACAUACCACAUAUAUCCAACUUGUUAAUAAGAAAUAAUCAAACUGAUUGAGACACAAUUAAUGAAAAAGAAUAAUAAUGAAAUAAGAAACAAAAAUUAGCUAAACCACAAUAUGCACAAAUGUAAUUCUUAUCUGACUGGAACCAAGGCUUUUCAGUGCAGAAGAAAUAUAAUUUGAUAGUCUUGUGUCUUAUACAGAGUACAUGUAAAGGUUGUCUGGAUUUCUAUUAAUGCUUAAAUAUAUGCACUGAACACAAAUUAUACCGAGAAAAGUCUAUCAUUGAUUGUACAAUAUAAAAUAAAUUCAAUAAUAUUGUU